AACAAACGCUGGCGGCAGGCUUAACACAUGCAAGUCGAGCGCCCCGCAAGGGGAGCGGCAGACGGGUGAGUAACACGUGGGGAUCUGCCCAAUGGUACGGAAUAGCUCCGGGAAACUGGAAUUAAUACCGUAUGUGCCCUUCGGGGGAAAGAUUUAUCGCCAUUGGAUGAGCCCGCGUCGGAUUAGCUAGUUGGUGAGGUAAAGGCUCACCAAGGCGACGAUCCGUAGCUGGUCUGAGAGGAUGAUCAGCCACACUGGGACUGAGACACGGCCCAGACUCCUACGGGAGGCAGCAGUGUGGAAUAUUGGACAAUGGGCGCAAGCCUGAUCCAGCCAUGCCGCGUGAGUGAUGAAGGCCUUAGGGUUGUAAAGCUCUUUCGCCGACGAAGAUAAUGACGGUAGUCGGAGAAGAAGCCCCGGCUAACUUCGUGCCAGCCGCCGCAGUAAAAC
rnacentral:rRNA from 1 species